ACGCUAGCUACAGGCUUAACACAUGCAAGUCGACUUGCAGCAUGGUCUUAGCUUGCUAAGGCCGAUGGCGACCGGCGCACGGGUGAGUAACACGUAUCCAACCUGCCGUCUACUCUUGGACAGCCUUCUGAAAGGAAGAUUAAUACAAGAUGGCAUCAUGAGUCCGCAUGUUCACAUGAUUAAAGGUAUUCCGGUAGACGAUGGGGAUGCGUUCCAUUAGAUAGUAGGCGGGGUAACGGCCCACCUAGUCUUCGAUGGAUAGGGGUUCUGAGAGGAAGGUCCCCCACAUUGGAACUGAGACACGGUCCAAACUCCUACGGGAGGCAGCAGUGAGGAAUAUUGGUCAAUGGGCGAGAGCCUGAACCAGCCAAGUAGCGUGAAGGAUGACUGCCCUAUGGGUUGUAAACUUCUUUUAUAAAGGAAUAAAGUCGGGUAUGGAUACCCGUUUGCAUGUACUUUAUGAAUAAGGAUCGGCUAACUCCGUGCCAGCAGCCGCGGUAAUACGGAGGAUCCGAGCGUUAUCCGGAUUUAUUGGGUUUAAAGGGAGCGUAGAUGGAUGUUUAAGUCAGUUGUGAAAGUUUGCGGCUCAACCGUAAAAUUGCAGUUGAUACUGGAUAUCUUGAGUGCAGUUGAGGCAGGCGGAAUUCGUGGUGUAGCGGUGAAAUGCUUAGAUAUCACGAAGAACUCCGAUUGCGAAGGCAGCCUGCUAAGCUGCAACUGACAUUGAGGCUCGAAAGUGUGGGUAUCAAACAGGAUUAGAUACCCUGGUAGUCCACACGGUAAACGAUGAAUACUCGCUGUUUGCGAUAUACUGCAAGCGGCCAAGCGAAAGCGUUAAGUAUUCCACCUGGGGAGUACGCCGGCAACGGUGAAACUCAAAGGAAUUGACGGGGGCCCGCACAAGCGGAGGAACAUGUGGUUUAAUUCGAUGAUACGCGAGGAACCUUACCCGGGCUUAAAUUGCAGAUGAAUUACGGUGAAAGCCGUAAGCCGCAAGGCAUCUGUGAAGGUGCUGCAUGGUUGUCGUCAGCUCGUGCCGUGAGGUGUCGGCUUAAGUGCCAUAACGAGCGCAACCCUUGUUGUCAGUUACUAACAGGUUCCGCUGAGGACUCUGACAAGACUGCCAUCGUAAGAUGUGAGGAAGGUGGGGAUGACGUCAAAUCAGCACGGCCCUUACGUCCGGGGCUACACACGUGUUACAAUGGGGGGUACAGAGGGCCGCUACCACGCGAGUGGAUGCCAAUCCCCAAAACCUCUCUCAGUUCGGACUGGAGUCUGCAACCCGGCUCCACGAAGCUGGAUUCGCUAGUAAUCGCGCAUCAGCCACGGCGCGGUGAAUACGUUCCCGGGCCUUGUACACACCGCCCGUCAAGCCAUGGGAGCCGGGGGUACCUGAAGUGCGUAACCGCGAGGAGCGCCCUAGGGUAAAACUGGU
rnacentral:rRNA from 1 species